CCUACGGGAGGCAGCAGUGAGGAAUAUUGGUCAAUGGGCGCGAGCCUGAACCAGCCAAGUCGCGUGAAGGAUGACUGCCCUAUGGGUUGUAAACUUCUUUUAUACAGGAAUAAACUGAGGUACGUGUGCCUUUCUGUAUGUACUGUAUGAAUAAGGAUCGGCUAACUCCGUGCCAGCAGCCGCGGUAAUACGGAGGAUUCGAGCGUUAUCCGGAUUUAUUGGGUUUAAAGGGUGCGUAGAUGGGUGGUUAAGUCAGUUGUGAAAGUUUGCGGCUCAACCGUAAAAUUGCAAUUGAUACUGGCAGUCUUGAGUACAGUUGAGGUAGGCGGAAUUCGUGGUGUAGCGGUGAAAUGCUUAGAGAUCACGAAGAACACCGAUUGCGAAGGCAGCUUACUAAGCUGCCACUGACAUUGAUGCUCGAAAGUGUGGGGAGCAAACAGGAUUAGAUACCCCUGUAGUC
rnacentral:rRNA from 1 species